UACGUAGGGUGCAAGCGUUGUCCGGAAUUAUUGGGCGUAAAGAGCGUGUAGGCGGCCCGAUUAGUCCGCUGUGAAAGUCCAGGGCUCAACCCUGGAAUGCCGGUGGAUACUGUCGGGCUAGAGUCCGGAAGGGGCGAGUGGAAUUCCUGGUGUAGCGGUGAAAUGCGCAGAUAUCGGGAGGAACACCUAUGGCGAAGGCAGCUCGCUGGGACGUUACUGACGCUGAGACGCGAAAGCGUGGGGAGCAAACAGG
rnacentral:rRNA from 1 species